CCUACGGGAGGCUGCAGUGAGGAAUAUUGGUCAAUGGCCGUAAGGCUGAACCAGCCAAGCCGCGUGAAGGAAGAAGGUCCUAUGGUUUGUAAACUUCUUUUAUAGGGGAAUAAAGGUAUCCACGUGUGGAUUUUUGCAUGUACCCUAUGAAUAAGCAUCGGCUAACUCCGUGCCAUCAGCCGCGGUAAUACGGUGGAUGCGAGCGUUAUCCGGGAUUGUUGGGUUUAAAGGGUGCGUAGGUUGGUUUUUAAGUCAGCGGUGAAAGUUUGUGGCUCAACCAUAAAAUUGCCGUUGAAACUGGAAGACUUGAGUGUGUUUGAGGUAGGCGGAAUGCGUGGUGUAGCGGUGAAAUGCAUAGAUAUCACGCAGAACACCGAUUGCGAAGGCAGCUUACUAAGCAAAAACUGACACUGAAGCACGAAAGCGUGGGGAUCAAACAGGAUUAGAUACCCUGGUAGUC
rnacentral:rRNA from 1 species